UUUAUGGAGAGUUUGAUCCUGGCUCAGGAUGAACGCUGGCGGCGUGCCUAAUACAUGCAAGUCGAGCGAACGGACGAGAAGCUUGCUUCUCUGAUGUUAGCGGCGGACGGGUGAGUAACACGUGGAUAACCUACCUAUAAGACUGGGAUAACUUCGGGAAAUCGGAGCUAAUACCGGAUAAUAUUUUGAACCGCAUGGUUCAAAAGU
rnacentral:rRNA from 1 species